AACGAACGCUGGCGGCAUGCCUAACACAUGCAAGUCGAACGAGACCUUCGGGUCUGGUGGCGCACGGGUGCGUAACGCGGGGGAAGCUGCCCGUAGGCUCGGGAUAACACCCCGUAGGGGGGGCUAAUACCGGAUAAUGUAUUCGGACCAAUGAUUUAUCGCCUUGGGGACGGCCCGCGUUGUUCUAACUUGUUGGUAGGGUAACAGCCUACGAAGGCGGCGAUCCAUGGCUGGGCUGAGAGGAUGGUCAGCCACACUGGGACUGGGACCCGGCCCGGACUCUUGCGGGUGGCCGCAGUGGUGAUCAUUGGACACCGCGCGAAUGCCUGAUCCAGCCGUGUCGCGUGGGUGAUGAAUUCCUUAGGGUUGUCAACCUCUUUUACCCGGGCUGAUAUUGCCGUACCCGGAGGAAUAGACCCCGCCAACCUCCGG
rnacentral:rRNA from 1 species